GACAGAGGAUGCAAGCGUUAUCCGGAAUGAUUGGGCGUAAAGCGUCUGUAGGUGGCUUUUCAAGUCCGCCGUCAAAUCCCAGGGCUCAACCCUGGACAGGCGGUGGAAACUACCAAGCUGGAGUACGGUAGGGGCAGAGAGAAUUUCCGGUGGAGCGGUGAAAUGCAUUGAGAUCGGAAAGAACACCAGCGGCGAAAGCGCUCUGCUGGGCCGACACUGACACUGAGAGACGAAAGCUAGGGGAGCAAAUGGG
rnacentral:rRNA from 1 species